ACGUAACGCUGGCGGGCAUGCCUAAUACAUGCAAGUCGAAACGCCUGGAGCGAUCUAGGAGUUGGCGGGACGGGUGAGUAAACGCGUGGGAACCUGCCCUUGAGGUGCGGGAAUAAACCGAGGGAAACUUCGGCUAAUACCGCAUGCGCCCGGAGCAAUCCGGGGAAAGAUUUAUCGCUCGAGGAGGGGCCCGCGUCGGAUUAGCUAGUUGGUGGGGUAACGGCCUACCAAGACGAUGAUCCGUAGCUGGUCUGAGAGGAUGAUCAGCCACACUGGGACUGAGGACACGGCCCAGACUCCUACGGGAGGGCAGCAGUAGGGAAUAUUGGACAAUGGGGGCAAACCCUGAUCCAGCAAUGCCGCGUGAGUGAUGAAGGCCUUAGGGUUGUAAAGCUCUUUCGCGCGCGACGAUGAUGACGGGUAGCGCGAGAAGAAGCCCCGGCCUAAACUUCGUGCCAGCAGCCGCGGUAAUACGAAGGGGGCGAGCGUUGUUCGGAAUUACUGGGCGGUAAAGGGCGCGCAGGCGGCCGCCACAAGUCAGGCGUGAAAGCCCCGGGUCUUAACCUGGGAAUUGCGCUUGGGACUGUGGUGCUUGAGUACGGGAGAGGAGAGUGGAAUUCCCAGUGUAGAGGUUGAGAAAUUCGUAGAUAUUGGGAAGAACACCGGUGGCGAAGGCGGCUCUCUGGACCGUAACUGACGCUGAAGGCGCGAAAAGCGUGGGGAGCAAACAGGAUUAGAUAACCUGGUAGUCCACGCUGUAAACGAUGUGCGCUAGACGUUGGAAGGCCUAGCCUUUCCGGUGUUCGCCGCUAAAACGCUUUAAGCGCACCGCCUGGGGAGUACGGCCGCAAGGUUAAAACUCAAAAGGAAUUGACGGGGGCCCGCACAAGCGGUGGAGCAUGUGGUUUCAAUUCGACGCAACGCGAAGAAACCUUACCAGCCCUUGACAUGUCCCGUAUGGGGCCCGAGAGAUCGGCUUCUUCAGUUCGGCUGGCGGGAACACAGGUGCUGCAUGGCUGUCGUCAGCUCGUGUCGUGAGAUGUUGGGUUAAGUCCCGCAACGAGCGCAAACCCUCACCUUUCAGUUGCCAACGGGUUAAGCUGGGCCACUCUGAAGGAACUGCCGGUGACAAGCCGGAGGAAGGCGGGGGAUGACGUCAAGGUCCUCAUGGCCUUUAUGGGCUGGGGCUACACACGUGCUACAAUGGCGGUGACAGAGGGAGGCGACGGAGCGAUCCCGAGCCAAUCUCAAAAAGCCGUCUCAGUUCGGAUUGUUUCUCUGCAACUCGAGAGGCAUGAAGCUGGAAUCGCUAGUAAUCGCGGAUCAGCAUUGCCCGCGGUGAAUACGUUUCCCGGGCCUUGUACACACCGCCCGUCACACCAUGGGAGUUGGUUUUUACCUGAAGACGGUGUGCCAACCGUAAGGGGGGCAGCCGGCCACGGUAAGGUCAGCGACUGGGGUG
rnacentral:rRNA from 1 species